AGGGUUUGAUUAUGGCUCAGGAUGAACGCUAGCUACAGGCUUAACACAUGCAAGUCGAGGGGAAACGACAUUGGAAGCUUGCUUCCGAUGGGCGUCGACCGGCGCACGGGUGAGUAACGCGUAUCCAACCUGCCCACCACUUGGGAAUAACCUUGCGAAAGUAAGACUAAUGCCCAAUGACGUUGAAAGAAGACAUCUGAUUUCAACUAAAGAUUCAUCGGUGAUGGAUGGGGAUGCGUCCGAUUAGCUUGUUGGCGGGGUAACGGCCCACCAAGGCAACGAUCGGUAGGGGUUCUGAGAGGAAGGUCCCCCACAUUGGAACUGAGACACGGUCCAA
rnacentral:rRNA from 1 species